GAUGAACGCUGGCGGCGUGCCUAAUACAUGCAAGUCGAGCGAACAGACGAGGAGCUUGCUCCUCUGACGUUAGCGGCGGACGGGUGAGUAACACGUGGAUAACCUACCUAUAAGACUGGGAUAACUUCGGGAAACCGGAGCUAAUACCGGAUAAUAUAUUGAACCGCAUGGUUCAAUAGUGAAAGACGGUUUUGCUGUCACUUAUAGAUGGCUCUGGGCCGCAUUAGCUAGUUGGUAAGGUACCGGCUUACCAAGGCAACGAUGCGUAGCCGACCUGAGGGGGGGACAGGCCCCAUAGAACGGAGACACGGUCCAGACGCCUACGGUAGGCAGCAGUAGGGAAUCUUCCGCAGUGGGCGAGAGCUUGACGGAGCGACGCCGCGUGAGUGAUGGAGGUCUUCGGAUCGUAAAACUCUGUUAUUAGGGAAGAACAAAUGUGUAAGUAACUAUGCACGUCUUGACGGUACCUAAUCAGAAAGCCACGGCUAACUACGUG
rnacentral:rRNA from 1 species